UAGUUUUAUCACUGUUUUUUUGGUUCAUAUUUUUUUUAAAAUUUUUGAAGUUUUUAAAAUUUUAACCAAAAGCUGUAAGGCUAACUAAAAGAGAAUACCAAAAUGAUAGUAUAAAACAUUUAAUGAUUAGUAGUAAAUACUUAAAUUAAUAGUAAAUACUUAAUAAUUAUUGAGUGGGGGUGCACCCAAUCUAUGAAAUUUAAACAAAAAUAAAUUUUUGUAAAUUUCAAAGCUGGGUACGCAAAACCCCCAAAAAUUUGUACUGUCGUAAAAAUUUUUGGGGGUGUAGCUCAGUUGGGAGAGCACCUGCCUUGCAAGCAGGGGGUCAGGAGUUCGAAUCUCCUCAUCUCCACCAAGGAACCUGACAAUUAAAGAGAAAUAUAUUUCUGGUCAAGCGACCAAGGGCAUAAGGUGAAUGCCUUGGCACUGAGAGCCGAAGAAGGACGUGACAAGCUGCGAAAAGUCUCGGGGAGGAGCAAAUAUCCUUAGAUCCGGGAAUGUCCGAAUGGGGAAACCCACUUGAGCAAACCUCAAGUAUCUAGUUGUGAAUACAUAGCAACAAGAGGGAAAAGUUGGUGAACUGAAACAUCUAAGUAGCCAGACGAAAAGAAAGAAAAAAUUCGAUUUUCAAAGUAGCGGCGAGCGAAAUGGAAAGAGCCCAAAUUAAGUUAAGGAAGAGGUAAGAUAGUUGAAUGGUCUGGAAAGAUUCAACCGAAGAAAGUGAAAGUCUUGUAAACGAAAUCAAGCCGAAUCUGACUUUAAAAGAGUAGCAUGGGACACGAGAAAUCCUGUGNGAAAAUGGGGGGACCACCCCCUAAGGCUAAAUACUACUCAGUGACCGAUAGAGAAUAGUACCGUGAGGGAAAGGUGAAAAGAACCCCGGGAGGGGGGUGAAAUAGAACCUGAAACCGUGUGC
rnacentral:misc_RNA from 1 species